rfam:Phytophthora infestans T30-4 supercont1.24 genomic scaffold, whole genome shotgun sequence.
ACCCGUCUAGCUCAGUCGGUAGAGCGCUGGCCUUUUAAGCCAGUGGUCGUGGGUUCGAUCCCCACGGGGGGGU